AGAGGGGGCAGGCGUGGGACUGAGGGCCCGAGCCGAGGCCGGGAGGCCAACAGCGGCCAGGCCACGGAGGACUUGGCAGCCGUGGAAGGCAUGUGGCCUUUCUCCUGGGAGCGGAGGGGAGACCCAGAGGAUGACAGAACUGGAGCCGCUUUUGAAGAGACUGUGGAGGAGGAAAAGGAUCGGAUUCGGAGCCCCUUCCAGAUAGCAAGUUCCGCAGAGACCCAGAGACUGCAGGUGUGGCUGGUCCUGACCCUGGCCUUGGACGAGUGCCCCACACCCAAGGUCUCCACGGCCCCUCCUCCCAGGCCUCCUCUAAGACCUGCCAGCCCAGAGGUCCUGGCAGGCAUCUCUUGGACACAGUCCCAGGGCGUGGGACUUGAUGGCUGAGUGUGCUGAUCCCCAGGAGGGGGCCCCCAGAGCAAGGGGGCAGGAAGUCCUGUCACUUCCCUGCCAGAGACAUCCCCCAUCUGUCCCUCACUGCAGGUUCCUGCAUCUCGCGCCUGCGUUGUCCUGCAGGGCACGAACCUACAUCAUCACUGUUCAUACAGCCAGGUGUAAUUUAUAACUUACAGGGUCGGGCACGAUUCUUUUUCUCCCCCCUUUUAUUUAUUUAUUUUUUUGCUUUUUUAGGGCUGCACCUGUGGCACAUAGGAGUUCCCAGAUGAGGGGCUGCAUCAGAGCUGCAGCUACCAGCACAUGCCACAGUCAUGCCAGAUCUGAGCCACAUCUGUGACCCACAACCACAGCUCACGGCAACGCCAAAUCCUUAACCCACUGAGCGAGGCCAGGGAUCGAACCCAUAUCCUCAUGGGUACUAGUCGGGUUCUUAACCCACUGAGCCACAAUGGGGACUUCGUUCUUUUUUCUUUUUAUGGCCACACCUGCAGCAUAUGGGAGUUCCCAUAGGGGUGGAAUUGGAGCUGCAUAUGUGGUGUAAGCCACAGCCACGGCAACACUGGAUCUGAGCCACAUCUGUGAUCUAUUCUGGCAGCUUAUGGCAACACAGGAUCCCUAACCCACUGAGCAAGGCCAGGGAUUGAACUUGCAUCCUCACAGGGACAAUGUUGCACCUUAACCCACUGAGCCACAAUGGGAACUCCUGUUUUUGGUCACCCGCAGCAUGCAAAUUCCCAGGCCAGGGAUCGAACUUGUGACACAACAGUGACCUGAGCCACUGCAGGGACAACGCCGGAUCCUUAACUCGCUGAGUCACCAGGGAACUCUGAAAUGCACGCUUUUCAAGUUUGCAGCUGUGCAAGCCUGUGUGACCUCCACCCAGGUCACAACGUGGACACGCCCAGCCCCCAGGACACCUGUCUUGUGAGGCUGGCCCCCGGGC
rnacentral:lncRNA from 1 species